AAAGCCAUGGAUGUUGAAAUGAGACUAAACUUACAGCCAAGUACUCCCACACUCAGAUUUCCUCAAUGUUUCCAGUAAAACUAACUCCUUCCUUAAAACAAUGAAUCUCAGGUCAAAUAUGAUAACAAUUUACAGGUUAGCCUAUUUCCUAAUUACAUUUUUAUAAUUUUUGUUUAUGUAACAAUUGCAAGCAAAGCACCAACAAUUAUGGUGGCUGUUAUUUACAGGUUUUGAAGAGGGCCGUUACGUGUGAUACCAUUAUUUAUAGGCCAAUAGGUACUUGCAGGUGUAACGGCCA
rnacentral:misc_RNA from 1 species